rnacentral:lncRNA from 1 species
CCUCCUUGUGGUUGGACGGUUCCACGUGACCAGCCUAGCCAAUGGAUUGUGAGCAGAAGUUACAUGUGUCAGUUCCAUGCCAAACCAUUUGAUGGAGAGUCAGUCCUGUCCUAGCCCCUGAGGAUAUCAGAGGAGGUGGCUGCUCUGUUAGCCUAAGUCUCUGAGCAACAAAGGACAGCUCAAGGAAGCAUGAUAAAAUGAGGCCUAAGAUAAUAUUUGACGGGAAAGUUUAUUUUUUUAUGGUCUGUUUGCAUUACACCAUCGGGUGAAGAGAGGAGGAGAAAGACUUGUCCCAAAUGGCAGAGCUGGAGAAGCACAAAUCCAAUGUCAAUAGUUGGAAAUACAAGUGUG